UACAUAGCUUAAUGAGGGGAACUCAGGGAACUGAAACAUCUAAGUACCUGAAGGAAGAGAAAGAAAUUCGAUUCCGUAAGUAGCGGCGAGCGAACGCGGAUUAGCCCAAACCAAUAAAGUUUUCUUUAUUGGGGUUGCGGACAUAUCAUAACGAAGAGGUAUCGUAAUUGAAGAGGUUUGGAAAGACCCACCACAGAAGGUAAUAGUCCUGUAUGUUAAACGAGAAGACUUUAGAUAUGAUCCAGAGUACCACGGGACACGUGAAACCCUGUGGGAAGCAGGAGGGACCACCCUCCAAGGCUAAAUACUACCUAGUGACCGAUAGCGUAUAGUACCGUGAGGGAAAGGUGAAAAGAACCCCGGGAGGGGAGUGAAAUAGAACCUGAAACCCUGCACUUACAAGCUGUGGAAGCACAUUUCUUGUGUGACCGCGUACUUUUUGUAGAACGGGCCAACGAGUUACGUUAAGUAGCAAGGUUAAGCACUUAAGGUGCGGAGCCGUAGCGAAAGCGAGUUUUAACUGAGCGUUCAGUUACUUGACGUAGACCCGAAACCGGGCGACCUACCCAUGAGCAGGAUGAAGCGAAAGUAAAAUUUCGUGGAGGUCCGAACCCACGAGCGUUGAAAAGCUCGGGGAUGACUUGUGGGUAGCGGUGAAAUUCCAAUCGAGCCCGGAGAUAGCUGGUUCUCCCCGAAAUAGCUUUAGGGCUAGCCUCAAGGUGAGAGAUACGGAGGUAGAGCACUGAAUGUCCUAGGGGGUAUUGCACCUACCGAAGACUAUCAAACUCCGAAUGCCGUCAUCUUAUACUUGGGAGUCAGACUGUGGGUGAUAAGAUUCAUAGUCGAAAGGGCAACAGCCCAGAUCGUCAGCUAAGGUCCCUA
rnacentral:rRNA from 1 species